GUUCACUGCCGCACAGGCAGCUAAGAAA
rfam:Candidatus Tenderia electrophaga isolate NRL1 chromosome, complete genome.